GAUGAACGCUGGCGGCGUGCCUAAUACAUGCAAGUCGAGCGAACGGACGAGAAGCUUGCUUCUCUGAUGUUAGCGGCGGACGGGUGAGUAACACGUGGAUAACCUACCUAUAAGACUGGGAUAACUUCGGGAAACCGGAGCUAAUACCGGAUAAUAUUUUGAACCGCAUGGUUCAAAAGUGAAAGACGGUCUUGCUGUCACUUAUAGAUGGAUCCGCGCUGCAUUAGCUAGUUGGUAAGGUAACGGCUUACCAAGGCAACGAUGCAUAGCCGACCUGAGAGGGUGUUCGGCCACCCUGGACCUGAGCCACGGUCCAGCCUCCUCCGGGAGGCAGCAGUAGGAAUUCUUCCGCAAUGGGCGAAAGCCUGACGGAGCAACGCCGCGUGGGUGAUGAAGGUCUUCGGUUCGUAAAACUCUUUUAUUAGGGAAGAAAAUAUGUGUAAGUAACUGUGCACAUCUUGACGGUACCUAAUCAGAAAGCCCCGGCUACCUCCGU
rnacentral:rRNA from 1 species